rnacentral:sRNA from 1 species
CGCAAACCACACCUCCGGAUCUUCAGGG